rnacentral:lncRNA from 1 species
UUGCUUCUAUCCUCUUAAUGAAAUACAUGCCAAGGCACCGUCGUGAAAAAAACUGAGUAGAUAUCAGUGAUUAUUAUAUGCAACACAAUUAUUGGAGAAUAAUAGCAAAAAUAUAGUACAGAUCCUCACCUUGAAUUGCAGAUCUACUUGUCGAGCCCUUCAUGAUCCCCGCCUCUCUACAACAAAGCUUCUGAUAAACAAACUAGUAGGGAGGAUAUGUAUUUAUAAAAUUCCAACAAGCCUUGAUGCACAACCAAUUUUCUGAUCCAAGUUAACUUGGACCGGAAGGCCAAGCAGGCAGUCGAGUACACGCUUUCAAACUACACGCCAAUCGCAGUUCAACACUUGGACUUCCCCUGAAUCCGUUGACACAGUUCAAAUUCAUGCUUUUCCUAUUAAAAUCGGGAUAAUAUAUUAUUAGAAUUAUUUCAGAAUUAAAAGAAUUACAUAGGCCUAGGACAUUCCAGUUGGAUUCAGGGAUGCUGAUCGAAUUCAUUGACCCGACGGAACAACACCUUCUCCUCCCAGCAAGCCCAGCAGGGGCCAUGAAGCUCCUCAACAUCCUUCGAACUGGGAAGAAGA